GGUGUGCGAGCUUGGCAGGGCGAAGACCCCCUCGCACCCGGCGUGUAUGCGCAGCGCUGAAUAAACACACCUGCUUUAUAACCUAACCUGGGGUUAUAGAGUUUGAUUCCGCAAGUCACCUGUGAGAUUCGGGAGGAGGGGCUGGGAGUGGGACGUGGCUGGGGGUCUGCAUGCCUGAUGGAGCCAUUCUCCCCCCGCCUACCCCUCCUCUUUUGUUCUCCUCUGGCAGACCGUGGCCACCCCCCUUCCCGCAUGCUGGUGCUGGGAGAGGCCUCGGAGAGCAACUCAGAGCCGGAACCGGAAGGGAACAUGGCCAGGACCUCCUGAGUGGAGCUGAAGGUUCCAGGGGAGGCAUCGACUGUGGCAACCCCCUUUUCUCCUGCGGUGGGAAGGCGUUGGAGGGCGACUCAGAGCUGGAGCCAGGGGGCAAUAUGGCCAGAACCUUCUGA
rnacentral:lncRNA from 1 species